GGAAUAUCAACCGGAUUGGAUAAGUGCUCGGUUACCGGUUGGACCGGUCCGUCCGAUUCUGACAACUUGACACUACAUUGUGUAUAUAUACACAUCUUCUCCUUUGCCUCUUAUACAAAACCUAACUACACUAAAAUCUACAGCUGCACAGCCAAGUAAUAAGCAGCCUGUUGGAGAUUGUCAACCGAGAUUGGAGGUGACAAACACAUUGGUAUUGUUUUUAUGAGUCAGUGACACAAGGGGGAGAUCAAGCAGGACUGCAAACAGAGCGAGAGGGGACUGCCAUGGAGAACUGGAAAAUCGUUUGUUGCAGGUGAAACUCAUACCCUUUAAAUUGUGGGAGUGGACGGGUGCCAAUGGCAUCCGUGGCACCCGUGACUGUGUUAGGUCACCCAGACUUCACCAUAUGUCUGGUGCCAGGGAUCUCAAAUGAAUUCACUGGUCUGAGAUGAACCGCCGGACCAAAUUCCGGUGAUGACAGAGUGAUGGUGCCGUGUUGGUAACAACCACCAGAUGGUGGCCCUGUGAAGCUUCGGGCCAAGCGACCACCACAGCGGUGAUCCCCGGCCUGAGGUGGUGCUAACCCACCAGUGCGUGACCCGUGUUGCCUCCAAUAGUGGUGGAGAGGUUGCUGAUGAACAACUCUGUUGCGGGACGGGAGUAGGGCAUCCCGUUGGGCUUAAAACUAUUUCUGUAGCCCAUUAAUUGAUUUUACCAAUUGUCAAGGGCCACGGCCAAAAUAAUAGG